GGGGGGGGGGGCAAGCGUUGUUCGGAAUUAUGGGCGUAAAGGGUGUGUAGGCGGCUUUGUAAGUCAACGGUGAAAGCCCUCGGGCUCAAACCGGAGGAAGUGCCCUUGAUACUGCAUGGCUUGAGUGCGGGAGAGGAGAGUGGAAUUCCCAGUGUAGCGGUGAAAUGCGUAGAUAUUGGGAAGAACACCAGUGGCGAAGGCGGCUCUCUGGACCGCAACUGACGCUGAAACACGAAAGCCAGGGGAGCAAACGGGAUUAGAUACCCCGGUAGUCCUGGCUGUAAACGAUGGGCACUAGGUAUAGGAGGUAUCGACCCCUUCUGUGCCGUAGCUAACGCAUUAAGUGCCCCGCCUGGGGAGUACGGUCGCAAAGGCUG
rnacentral:rRNA from 1 species